rfam:Parcubacteria bacterium GW2011_GWA1_43_27 TV92_C0001, whole genome shotgun sequence.
AUUUUCACAAUUUAAUGGCCACAGACAGUAGGUUCCGCCCCAGGCGGAUUAAGCCCAAAUUAGGGGCCUGCCGAGGCAAAAAUGCCAGCUUUACUGGCAAAGCAUCGUCUGUGGUUUAUAUCCACAGAUUUUUUAAUUUAAAUA